UGAGUCGCGAACGGGUGAGUAACGCGUAGGUAACCUGCCUACUAGCGGGGGAUAACUAUUGGAAACGAUAGCUAAUACCGCAUAAGAGUUUUAACACAUGUUAGAAUUUAAAGGAGCAAAUGCUUCACUAGUAGAUGGACCUGCGUUGUAUUAGCUAGUUGGUAAGGUAACGGCUUACCAAGGCGACGAUACAUAGCCGACCUGAGAGGGUGAUCGGCCACACUGGGACUGAGACACGGCCCAGACUCCUACGGGAGGCAGCAGUAGGGGAAUCUUCGGCAAUGGGGGGAACCCUGACCGAGCAACGCCGCGUGAGUGAAGAAGGUUUUCGGAUCGUAAAGCUCUGUUGUAAGAGAAGAACGUUGAGUAGAGUGGAAAGUUACUCAAGUGACGGUAUCUUACCAGAAAGGGACGGCUAACUACGUGCCAGCCGCAGC
rnacentral:rRNA from 1 species